UAUCUUUUUGAAAAAUGUGAAAAAAUUAUAUGUUAUGAAGUGCGUUAUUGGUCUAAGUGACAUAAGUUUCAUUUUGGGAUGGAUCUGGGAUCAAACACUAGAACAUUGUGAAUUAGGCCAUGUUCACUAAAACUACUCUAGUAAGGCAUUAACACAAUUCCACUUUUUCCACAAAUUGGCAACCCUGCUGUAUAAAAAGUAUUAUUCACAGGGGGCUGUAACUUUGAGAAUUCACUUUCCUGAACCUGUACUGUUAAAGCCCUAAGUUUCAUUGAAUUCGGUGAUGGUGAUGUCAGCAGGUGUGUGAAAUGGCAUUGAAUGACCCGGAAGUAAUAAAUUCUAGGAUUCAGGCAGUUAUUCCCAGAGAAAACCUCAACCAUUCUACGCCCACCAUAUCGCGCGGCGAGAAGACUCAGUAAGGCAUACUCGGAGCCAAGUGGAGGUUACCUGUAGGCGGAAAAAGUUGAGCGACUGUUAUUUUUACCCCUUGUUAGAUCGAUAUUUGGCUUUGUAACAGCAUCGAGAAGUACUAUUAUAUGCACGAUUUCUUUUUCAAGGAUGGAGUUAAAAAGAAACUGGAGAAAAUAAAGAAGAAUCAUCUUUAUAUUUAUGCAACAAGAAAGAAAAAUGAAGCUACUCAUCUCAAAGCAUACUGGAGUCAAAGGUCAGUUUGUUUUGUAAUAUGUCAUACAAAAUACAGAUUGCGUUCAUUAGCCUGCGUAGUCGAAACUUAGUCUACCUUGUGAUCUCUCACCUCCAACACCUUCCCCACCAUAAUAUUGAGUUAUCUUAGAUGAACAGUCGCAUAUUGAAAAGUUUAUUUAAAAUAUAUAGGUUAAAUAUGUAUGUUUAUAAUAUGUAAAGCAUCCAUAAGUUAUUAGUUUGGACAGACUGAGCUCCCUGUUGGGAAGGGGGAGGGGCGGAAACAAACUCUGGCUCCUCACAGUCGAAGCAUAUAAUAUGUGUUUGUAUUAACGUUGUAGUAUUAACCUUUAAAAUGUGUAAUGUGUACAUUUUUUAUUUGGCACUGAAUUAUCAAUUUAUUCACAGGAAUAAAACUAUACCUAAACAAAACCAUGUCAAUGAAGAAUUGGAAAACCAGAGCCUAUCAAGAAUUCACUGCAGCCAUCAAGAACUGAUUGAAAACGAAAUAACUUCCGGAGUGCAUGAAGUAGUGUACUAUGAAGAAAGCUAUCCGGCAAAGAAAAAAUUUAAACUUGAUAGCUGUAGUUAUCAAGUUCCGGAAGGUAGAGACUCACGAUGACACCUUGGCAGCCAGGGAGUAAAAACGGCACAAGAAAUUUCUUCAAGAGAAAAUGACACAUCAGAUGAAGAGAAUAACUACUCUGUAACCAAUGUCCUGCACAAUGAAGAUGGGCAGUGUAUGAUGGAGUUAAAAAGAAACUGGAGAAAAUAAAGAAGAAUCAUCUUUAUAUUUAUGCAACAAGAAAGAAAAAUGAAGCUACUCAUCUCAAAGCAUACUGGAGUCAAAGGAAUAAAACUAUACCUAAACAAAACCAUGUCAAUGAAGAAUUGGAAAACCAGAGCCUAUCAAGAAUUCACUGCAGCCAUCAAGAACUGAUUGAAAACGAAAUAACUUCCGGAGUGCAUGAAGUAGUGUACUAUGAAGAAAGCUAUCCGGCAAAGUGAGUAACUGUUUACAUUUUAUUUAAAACAAAUCUAAGUUAUUAUUUUAGAGAAAGUAAGAUUGGCAACACAAACAGUUCUAUUAAUUUAACAAAUAUGUUUUG